rnacentral:rRNA from 1 species
GUGAGGAAUUUUCCGCAAUGGGCGAAAGCCUGACGGAGCAAUGCCGCGUGAAGGAUGAAGGCCUAUGGGUUGUAAACUUCUUUUCUCAGAAAAGAAUUAUGACGGUAUCUGAGGAAUAAGCAUCGGCUAACUCUGUGCCAGCAGCCGCGGUAAGACAGAGGAUGCAAGCGUUAUCCGGAAUGAUUGGGCGUAAAGCGUCUGUAGGUUGUUUAAAAAGUAUUCUGUCAAAGAUUAGGGCUUAACCCUAGAUAGGAAGAAUAAACUUUUAAGCUAGAGUUUGGUAGAGGCAGAGGGACUUCCCGGUGGAGCGGGGAAAUGCGUAGAUAUCGGGAGGAACACAAAAGGCGAAGGCACUCUGCUGGGCCAAUACUAACACUGAGAGACGAAAGCGAGGGGAGCAAAUGGGAUUAGAAACCCGAGUAGUCC